GCAAAAAGACUAUGGCUUUGUUGCAGUUUCAAGCUUUCAGCCUCAUUUUAAAAUACAAUAAACACUGAAUGCUGUUAAGAUUAUAUCAACAAUUUUAGUUCCUUGUGAGCCUUUAGACCACUUCUCUGCUUAGUGCAAAUGUUUCUUUAAGAGGCAGGAUGUCACAGUAUUUACUUUGGUCCAUUCUGUGUUUUUGUAGCUAGUUAUAGAUAGAUAGAAAUUUCUUGCCAGUAGUUGUUUCCAGCUUUGUUACGCUACAUCAGUUAUCUGUGUAGGGGCCCAGGUGACAAGUACGAUUCAACAGAAAGUUUCCUAAUAUCGGUGAGAUGUUUGAAUUCAUGACAUGAGGUGAUUAUAUAAUAAUGAAAUGUACAUAUUCAAAGAGUAUCAUAGAGUACAUGAUACUCAAAGAGUACCAUAAAAGGAAAACAUAUUCAUUUUACCAGCUUCGCACAAUGGAAAUACAAAUUCCCUUCAAUCAGAAGUGUUGUGUUGUUGUGGCCAAAAUGAAAUUUUCCUUAUGAAAAACUUUAUAGCAUGGAAUGUAUUCCCAAUUAAAGAAAAAUAUUGUGAUAAAGUUUGUUGAGAAAAACCCUCCAGCAUGGAGAGAUUACUGAAUGAGCUGACGGGGCACACGCCCAGGGGCCUCUGUUUGAUGUGACUGUUAACAUUUCUUGGCAGUCAAGUGACCACAGAGGCUCAGAGCUAUGACAAAUGCAGAAUGCAUUCUGUGUUUUGAGAUGCAAAACUUAAAGACGUGUCAUCUGAAGUUGUUUUGUGUCUCUCUCAGUUUGGGUGUCUUGCUCCUACGUAGGGCGGGGGUAGGGGCUUUUACAUGUCUGUGUCCAGUGGGCCAUUAUCUAAUUAUCCGCCCAUGCCUUCCAGUAGCACUGUAUUUUGUGCUAAAAAUAUUGAUUCAUUUGUCAGUUACUGACCAGAGGUCAAAUUCAUAACAAUAUAGGAUUGCAAGACAACUUACACUUAAACACACAUUUAAUAUUAAUAUCCUCUAAAUAUCCUACCUGAUCUCUCACUGACUCUACUGUAAAGUGUCUUCAAUAUUAAUGAAUCUACUGGUUAAAAACCUUACAAAAUUACAUAAUGUAUGCUAGUUUGCUUAAUUUAUUUGGCUCCUGGUUUUGUGUGUGGUGGCUCACUGACAUGGCGUACUUAAAUCCAGUGGAACCAUUGUUAAUAUUACUGCUUACACCUGUGAUUCACCACAGCCCACAGAAAAUCCACUCGCUUCAGUGUGGGUCAUGAUUUAGUUGCCAAAACUAUUCACAUAAACUAUUCACAUUGUGCAGCUGCGUCAAUUAAGGUCACAGCACCUGUUAAUGGUUAUUUAAUCACACUCACACACCUUGACUAGAGCUACUGUGGUGCUUUGGUUUUGAUGACCUGGCUGCUCCUGCACAGAGGAUGUUACCUGAAAUGCUUCACAUGAUGCUCCUUUUAUAUGAAAACCUACCCACAAUGCUCCCCAUGCAGCCUAACUUUUUACCUGUCAGCCAUGUUGAGGCUGAAUACCUUCCUCAGUCUGACGCUGGCGGGUGUGCUCUUCUCACGAGAGGAGCUGGAGCGACGCGGACGCUUCUGCUGCUCCACCUGGCCUUCAUCACAGACCAUCGGAAACAACAGCUGCUCUCCUCUCCUGUUCUGUGGAGGAGAGAGAGUUGUGAAUUGGUUAAAGUUCGCCCAGUCAGUGCUGCAUGCCAUGCCUGUGCUCUGCAAAUGUUCAUUGUCUGUUUGCGUGACCACCUUGGCCCUCACCCAUGUGGCACUAUCAGGCCUGUCAGCUCUGUGCAAGAACUUCAGACUCACUGUCUCCACCAUUAUGACUUCAUGUGGAUGUAUCAAACCAAUACUGCUCACCUUACAGUCAGUGACCAGUUACUCCACACAGGCACUUGGCAUUGUUUGGGAUCUGUCAUCUCUCUAAGCAGCCCCUGAACGCCUCCUGUGCCUGAACUCUUUGUAUAUAAUGUACAUGAAAUUUAACAUUAUUCCAAAUGUAAGUCAGUGAUUUCUAGAUUUAUAUUGCCUGUUUUUAUUUUAAUAAAAUAAUUGUGAAAUAUUUGCCGACCAGUCUAAUCAAACACAACAGUUGACAUCAUUGUCAACAUUUUCGGAUGCAUGGGUCCACCUUCUCAUCAAGUGACCUCAGACACUUAAAACGAGAAAUACUUGACACUUUAUUGCAUCAGUUCCACUAAUAAAUAGUGCCCCACUCCCUCAGUAACCCAUCAGCUUCUAACAGAUGUUGCAAGGAUUCGGUGCAGCAUCCUUCUUUAAUCAAUGCUUCAAGUCGAGAAAUCAAAUUCUGCUUAUGUAUGUGAGUUACAAAAGUACCUGUAACAACAUUGUCCAGUUUUCAAACCCCAUCAACUGGCUCAGGAAAAGCUCAAUGUUGGAGAAACGAAAUGCAAAAAAAAAAAAAAAAUCCAAGUUAAGGCUUGAUUGCAAAA